rnacentral:rRNA from 1 species
AUGAACGGCGUUCAUGAUGAGCAGACACUAGACUCAAUCUGGAUAAGAAGCGAUACACCGUACCGGAUCGAAAUCAGCCUCAGAAUGCUGAAGGACACACUAUUUGUUACUUCAGCAAGCCUACAUCCCGAAUGCUUCAAUCUCGCUGUUCGUAAGCUUGCGAGCGCUGAAGUAGAGAGGCAUGCAGGCACCAACAUGGUUGGAGGAAAACAUUAUUUUGACUUGCAGUUUCAUGCUCAAUCACGAGCUCUAAGGUAUUCCUGGAUGCCGCAAGGGCAGCGCACCUCGACGCUGAUCAACAAUGCUGUUCUACAGCCCUUUCCUAGAUAUGAUGUGUUCAACUCCACAAUUUAUCUACUUCCUUUGUCUAUCCCGGAUUCCUCGUAUGGUCUACUCGUGGAUCCAAUUAUGCUCAGAAGCCAAGUGGUAGUCCAGAUGCUCAUGGUGAAAGACAAUCUAGCUGCUGGAAACAUCCCUCAGGAGAUUACGGUGGCCUUGAGGCGCUCUCCUUUGCGCGGUUAA